rnacentral:rRNA from 1 species
CCUACGGGUGGCAGCAGUGAGGAAUAUUGGUCAAUGGGCGAGAGCCUGAACCAGCCAAGUCGCGUGAGGGAGUACUGCCCUAUGGGUUGUAAACCUCUUUUGUCGGGGAGCAAAAGCCGGACGUGUCCGGCUGUGAGAGUACCCGAAGAAAAAGCAUCUGCUAACUCCGUGCCAGCAGCCGCGGUAAUACGGGGGAUGCGAGCGUUAUCCGGAUUUAUUGGGUUUAAAGGGUGCGCAGGCGGAUUUUUAAGUCAGCGGUAAAAUCGUGGGGCUCAACCCCAUCCAGCCGUUGAAACUGGGGAUCUAGAGUGUGCGAGAGGUAUGCGGAAUGCGUGGUGUAGCGGUGAAAUGCAUAGAUAUCACGCAGAACACCGAUUGCGAAGGCAGCAUACCGGUGCACAACUGACGCUCAGGCACGAAAGCGUGGGUAUCGAACAGGAUUAGAUACCCUAGUAGUC